ACUUCCCUGUCCUUGCCAAGUUCUUUAGCUCUUCCUGAGGGAUCCUGAGGUCUUCCAAAGCCAUCUGGGACAUAUAAUCCCUCCAGCAUGUCCUGGCCCUCCUCCCAGUUAG